rnacentral:rRNA from 1 species
UACGGAGGGGGCUAGCGUUGUUCGGAAUUACUGGGCGUAAAGCGCACGUAGGCGGCUUUGUAAGUUAGAGGUGAAAGCCCGGAGCUCAACUCCGGAAUUGCCUUUAAGACUGCAUCGCUUGAAUCAUGGAGAGGUGAGUGGAAUUCCCAGUGUAGAGGUGAAAUUCGUAGAUAUUGGGAAGAACACCGAUGGCGAAGGCAGCCAUCUGGACCGACACUGACGCUGAGGCGCGAAAGCGUGGGGAGCAAACAGG